AGCCAAUAAAAUAACCACACUUUUAUUGAAAGUAACACACCAAAAUUGGACAGAAAAUAACUUUUUUUUUUUUUUUUAAAUCUGUUUGUUAUAUAGGACUGAAGAAUAACAUAUUGUUGAUACUAAUUUAAUAUCAAUAAACGUAUUUCCAGUUUAUUUGAAAACUGUACAAAACAACAGUGCAAGAAACUGCUAUAAAACCAACCUUAAACUGUAAAC